CGUGUAGGCGGCUUUGCAAGUCGGGUGUGAAAGCCCUCGGCUCAACCGAGGAAGUGCGCCCGAAACUGCAGAGCUUGAGUACCGGAGAGGAUGGCGGAAUUCCCCAAGUAGAGGUGAAAUUCGUAGAUAUGGGGAGGAACACCGGUGGCGAGGGCGGCCAUCUGGACGGAUACUGACGCUGAGACGCGAAAGCGUGGGGAAGCAAACA
rnacentral:rRNA from 1 species